ACACUCUCGUCACCUCAAGCUGCUACCCAAACAUUGUCUAUGAAGGACAUGUCGUCUUACAGGGCACGGUUCGAGAUUACACAGCCAAUUGCACAACUUCCUGCCCUGCAAAAGGUCUGUUUGAUGGAAAAGGGGAGUCCUGCUUGACUGAAGUCCCUCCUUUCAUGAUUGCUGUUGUGGUUAUCCUGACAGUCCUGCUGCUGGCAGGCCUCACGGUGUGCCUCGUGCGCUCUAGAAGAAACAAUGGUGUGCCCGUGAUGCAAGACUCCGCACUGCAGAGGAAAGUCCGAAUACCAGCUGAUGUGGAGACGGGAAAUCCAGAGAGCAGCGUGUAAAAGUUUCUCUGCACAUGCUGGAUUCAAACUUUGUGUUGAUGCCUCUGCAGUAUUUUAUUAACGAUAUGCGUCCGUUAUAUAUCUUUGUUUUUCUGUGUUUUUGUCAGGCAGUUACAGAAACUCAGCAAAGAGUUUCCACUCAGGACCCCCAGUAUAAUAAAUACGCUUUAAUGAUAAA